rnacentral:rRNA from 1 species
AUGUACAUGCCUACAACAUUAAUGCACAAGAUCCCAUUAGAACUCUGUAGUUAAGAACACUUGAGGUAGAGUAGUACUCGGAUGGGUGGCCUCUCAGGAAGUCUUAGUAUUUUACAUG